CGCGCCCUCGGUCACGGCCGGGGGAGGCCGGGAACGCCCCGGGAUGCCGUGAGCUCUGCCUUUCACUGCCUUCUGGCCUCAGCCCUCCGCUUCGCCUUAAACUGAGCCCGAGCACAGAGAGACGCCAACAGCACGGGCAAUAUGGAAGCCAUUUCACAGACGCACAUCCAGCCCGCUUACAGCAAUUGGAACCUGUCUGCAAACGAGCCGCCUGGGGGGCAACCAGCCAGCCUGCUGAUGAUAAACUCUGUCUACACAAAGCCAAAUACCUUGAUCUCUUGGAGUAAAGUGAAUUUCUCUGCCAUUACUGCAUGUACGUGCACAGCACACAGUUGGAGUGAAAAGAUGCUCAGAUGAAAUUACAAAGAACAAAGCUUCAGUGUGCACACCCAUCUGCUCACUUCAAAAUAACUGUUCCCCAGUUUGGAGAUCAAGACUGUGCAUAAAAAAGUCCUUUCAACUCCCACUGGAAAGAAAAAAAUAAGAAAAAAGAAGGAAUAACUAUAAGAGAAUAAUGUCUCAACAAUCAACUGUAUUGAAUUCAACCACUGAAGACCAGGUGUGCAAAUUAGAGGCAGAACCAACAGGAAGCACUCGCUCUACACUGUAGGACGCCAGGCAAAGGAUUUGGGGUCAGAAAAAAAAUUAUAAUAAUAAAAAAAGAAAUCAUCUUCCACUGUCACAGCCCAGACCUGC